UUCCCCUGAAACUGAUGUGGACUCUUUAUUAAUGUGCAUUCAUCAUAGUGUGAAAGCCGCGAGCUCCGCGUCUUUGGGUUCAGAGUGAAUCACAAUGGGGUCUCAAUCAUCACUCACGCAUGUGAUGGUCUGACCUAAGCGAGGAAGAGCCUGUUGUACCCUGGGAUCCAGAUCACAAGGGUCAGUGCAGACUAGCAAACCAGUCAAGACCCUCCUUCCAGAGGAGUCCUGCCCGAUACCAGAGAGGAAGAAAUGGUAAAACGGAGGGGCCCAGAAGGCUCCGAGCAGACAGUUUGUUGCCGGGGUGUCUGCCGAGACUGAUUGGCAUGAAGUGACUGCCCACUGCUCCCCUGCUGGGAGGAUAAUGCCAGGUUCCAGGUCUGUGGCACGGCACUCUUUUAGUCCUGCGAGGAGUAAACUGAAGCUCAUUUCACUCAUUUUCCUACUGAGAAGAGCUGAGAGUACCACUUGGGACUAUUGGGUUAAUGUAUCCUUCUAAACACGAGCACACACUAUUGCUACAUCCACCGUACUGCCUGUCUUCCUCCACACAGUCCCUUGUCAGUGGCGCACUCUAAGUCUAAUAAAAUGAUCACCAAUCAACUGACUUCUGGUUUCUUUAAAAGCUUGAACAUA